GACGAACGCUGGCGGCGUGCCUAAUACAUGCAAGUAGAACGCUGAAGGAGGAGCUUGCUUCUCUGGAUGAGUUGCGAACGGGUGAGUAACGCGUAGGUAACCUGCCUGGUAGCGGGGGAUGACUAUUGGAAACGAUAGCUAAUACCGCAUAAGAGUAGAUGUCGCAUGACAUUUGCUUAAAAGGUGCAAUUGCAUCACUACCAGAUGGACCUGCGUUGUAUUAGCUAGUUGGUGAGGUAACGGCUCACCAAGGCAACGAUACAUAGCCGACCUGAGAGGGUGAUCGGCCACACUGGGACUGAGACACGGCCCAGACUCCUACGGGAGGCAGCAGUAGGGAAUCUUCGGCAAUGGACGGAAGUCUGACCGAGCAACGCCGCGUGAGUGAAGAAGGUUUUCGGAUCGUAAAGCUCUGUUGUAAGAGAAGAACGAGUGUGAGAGUGGAAAGUUCACACUGUGGCGGUAUCUUACCAGAAAGGGACGGCUAACUACGUG
rnacentral:rRNA from 1 species